GCGGGAAUAGCUCAGUUGGUAGAGCAUAACCUUGCCAUGGUUAGGGUCGCGAGUUCGAACCUCGUUUCCCUCUCCA
rnacentral:tRNA from 1 species